GGACGUAACAAUUGGAGCCGUGCAUCCCAGGCCCAUCUAGCAUUAACAUGCCUGUGGGCUUAUGCUCGAUGUCACUUGAUUAAUCUCCGGGUAAGCCCUCGCCUCUUUGCGAUAUCAGUCGACGUACAAUCUCCGGCAACAAUCAGUAAUUAUGAAGGUAAGGUCAUCGGUUAAGAAGAUGUGCGAGUUCUGUAGAACAGUCAAACGUCGAGGUCGUGUAUAUGUGUUAUGCACAGCAAAUCCCAAGCACAAACAACGCCAGGGCAUGUCUACGUUUGCAUAUGAGGCACCACUACCUCCAGUAGCAUCAUCGGCAGAAACAAGCAUCAAGCAAGAGACAUCAAUUGUUCACAAUUUUAGUGCAGGGCUACCUUCUCUCAUUAGGAACGAACCCUCUACUGUGUUUGGAUGGAGAACAAGUCUAGCAUCUCUUUUAUUUGGCCAGGGCAACAAGUAGUAAAACCACAUGCAGAUCAAGUUUAAAAGAUCUUGAAGCUUUUUGUGAUUCCAUUGAAUAGUGGUUGUAUUUUGAUCCCGGUUUUGUUUAAAACAGGUUAUAACACCAAGUCAUCACCCAGGAUUGAACAUGAACCGGCAACAGUGAUAUGUUCAGGAACCCUGAGAAAUAACAUGAAAGUUGUUUUUUUUUUUUUAA